rnacentral:lncRNA from 1 species
ACCUUCCCCUGUCUUCGAUUUAAAAAAAAAUUACUGCAUACAAAGGGUAGGAGCUACAAGGGACAUAGAAUAAUUUGGACUCCACUACUACCUUAAGAGACCUUCCCCUGACUUCUCUUUUAAAAAACCUAUGGGUCUCUGCACCCCUGAACUUACUUUCUACACCUAUUUCUCUCUUCACCCCCAAAAUCCAUAUUAGAAUGCCCCUGCAGGCUAUAAAGCCUUUCAUAAAAGUAAAAUACCCAGUCUUUUCAAGAGAACAAUAAAAUAGGCAGUCUCCUACCUCUUGUCUUACUCUAAUAUAAACUCCAUGAAGAUAAGUAUUGUCUCCAUACUGUUCAUGCUGCACAGCAGUUGCCCUUAUCUGCAGGGCGACGCAUCCCAAGACCCCCAGUGGAUGCUUGAAACUGCAGAGAGUAACACACGUGAUUGCCACCAUCGGAACACAUUUCUGUGCACGUCUUCCACCCACAGAUUUAAUGCCUUUUCCGUCUUAACUAAGCACUCAUCAUGGACUGUGGCCAUAACUUUUGCAGUUUUAGAUGCAACAGCAAAACUAACAUUAAUUUUUCCUUCUUCUUCACAAUUUCAUGGGUAGAUUUGUUCUUACCGUAGAUCUUAGCAACCUCAGCAUAUGAUGUUUUUUCUUUUGAGAACUUUCACCUUUUCCCUUAAAGAAAGCACUUUACAGCUUCUCUUUGACAUAUCUCAACUGCCAUCAUCACUGCUCUUGAACUUUGGGGCCAUUAUUAAGUCAGAAAAGGGUUACUUGAAAACAAGCACUGAGAUACCACCAGAGUCCAUCUGAUAACUAAGAUGGUAACUACAUGACUAACAGGCUGGUGACGUAUACAGCAUGGAUAUGCUGGACAAAAGGGUGAGUCAUGUCCCAGGUAGGAUGAAGCAGGGUGACUUGAGAUUUCACUAUUCAGUGUGGUGCACAAUUUAAAACUUAGGAAUUGUUUAUUUCCUGGAACUUUUUUCAUUUAAUAUUUUUGGACUGCAGUUGACCACAGGUAACUGAAACUGUGGAAAGUGAGGAUCAGAGGAUAAGCAGGGACUGUGGUAUUCAUUUCAUUGCACAGUGCCUAGAAUACAGUAGGUGUACUAUAAAUAUUUUGUAAAGGGACAACUUUGCUGAAACUGAAAAUAUUUAUGUUUUACCCAAUAAUUUUUCUUCUGGAAAUUUAUGCUACGGAAAUAUUCAGAGAUGCUUACAAAGUUUUAUGCAUGAGUGUCCGUGUUAUUUGUAAUUGUGAAAAAUGAAAAUAACUCAAAAGUUUAACAGUGGUCAUCUAAAGUACUGUAUACACUGUAUAUAUAGGUCGAAUAGAAGGUCAUCCUAUUCAUUUAUUAAUGAGAGGUACAAUCUCCAGGGAUCUGUAAAAUCUAUUUUGUCUUAACCAAAGAACAAAUUUUUGACAUAUCUUGAAUAGGAUGACUAUAAAUUAUGACUAUAAAUUAUGACUAUAAAUUAUGACUAUAACUUUUAAAUUGUUAUAAUUUUUGUACUAUUAUCUGAUAUUUUUAUUUUUAUGUAUGUUCCUAAGUAGUUUAGAGAUAGUCACAUUUUAAAAAUCUAAGAUCAAACAAAUGAAGCUUAUUUUUAUGUAUUCAUAGUAUAAAAGACCUUCAGUAAAUAGAUAAUAUUUUUGUUUUAUUCUAGAAAACAGCUCCUUGAACACAGUGAGCUGGCUUUUCACACAUUGCAGUUGUUAGCGUUUACUGCCCUUGCCAUUUUAAUUAUGAGGCUAAAGAUGUUUUUGACGCUGCACAUGUGUGUUAUGGCUUCCUUGAUAUGCUCUCGACAGAUGCUGUCUUCGCAGGUGCCAUGCCUACAAUGGCAAGCGUCAAGCUGUCUACACUUCAUCCCAUUGUGAAUCAUCCACUUUACGAAGAUGCAGACUUGAGGUUGGCAGCUGAUGAGUAUUUCUUCAAGACUCACUUGGCGACUCCCAAUUCUUAGGAAUUGGGAAAAUUUUUACACACACACAGACACACACACACACACACAAACUCAUCCUCAUUUUCGUACUGGAAGUUAAAAAAAAAUGACAAUAACCAUCCAGAAAUGACAAUAUGUACCUGUUGCCUCUGGAGCAAGCAGACCUCUGAAAACUGAAAAAUGCAAAAGCCAGUUUUUUCCAAAGUGACAAAUGUGUCACAUAUUUAUGAUGUGUGCGUGUAUUCCAGUAAAACUACUAGGUAGUUGGAAGAGUAGGUAGGAUGGAUUUUACUCACAGCCAUGGUUUGCCAACCCCUGCUCUACACCACAAGCCCCACUCUGAUUUAAGAAAUGAUUUCUAGAUCUUACUGGUGGCCAAUGACUAGCUUUUUGUGACAGGUAGAAAAAGUACAUGAAAGUUGCUAUUAUAUAGUACGUGCUUUCAUGAAAAUUUAGAGUAUUUUUGCUAGUCGAUUAUGAGAACUCUAGUUUCCAUUGAUGUCUAAAAGUUUUGCUUUCCUUAAAUGGCUGGUUUAAAAAAUUAUUUUGGUUAUUCUAGUAGUUGUCAGGGUAAUCAUUUUUAAAAGUGGAUUUUUGGCCUAUUGUUAGAGGCAAAUGUUUAAAUUAUUUAAAAGUUUUAGGUCUUCUGUCUAGGAGCCAGGGCUUGGAGUCAGACACCUUAGAAGUGUACCUGAUGCUCUCUCUGUUCUACUGUGGUGAACUGGCAUGGAAACCACUGUGGUGACUGAGCAUCCCAUAUGCUUGAAAUUCUAAGCAACAUCCAAUGCAUAAGUGAUAGUUUGUCAGGAUUUUGUAAGAAUUCCCACUACGGUCAAAUCACCUAUUGUACCAUAUUUUGGUGACCAUCCCCAUUUCUCAAGAUUCUGUGAAGGUGCUUUUCCUACCUCUUCUGAUACCGUGGAUGUCCAUUGUCUAAGUGUUCUACUUGAUACACUAAAUUUCAAUUCAUUUAUUUGUCAGAGCUUCUUUAGAUGAAAUUAAGCAUUGAAAGAUGUGUUUUCACUACAUUCAGUCUCUGUCAGAAUAUAUUCUCUGAAAACUGUGUGAAUUAUGAGAAGAAAACUGUAUAUCCUAAGCUGCUCUCUGCUACCCAGUACAACUUUAGACUAUCUUAUACAGUAAUGAGCAGUAUAUGCAAAAUUAAAUUGCUGUAAGUUUUAUUACAUUCAAAAUAUAAGUAGGAAUGUGGAAACUGCCAUCCCCAAAAUAGUUGAUGCUGUUUUGAGUCAUGUAUAUCAGUGUUCCAUCCAGUGAGUAUUGAGAUUUCAAUUUGCUAGUAAGAUUUUUUUAGUCUAUUCUAUUAUCAUUUAUUUUAAAAUCUUUUAAACUAUUGUUUAAAUUUAAAGGGCUCGGACAAAAAUAGUUUAUUCUACAUAUAGUCGAAAAUCUGCCAAAGAAGUAGGAGAGAAAUUGUUGGAGUUACAUGUGAAUUAUUAUGUUUUAGAAGAGGCAUGGUGUGUUGUGAGAACUAAGUGAGUAUUAACCCUAUGCUAUCUGAUAUGGUACAUUUUUGAGCAACAAAUGUUUCACUUUAUUACAGUAGUCCUGAUUCUUUAAGAAUUUUUAUUUUAAAUUUAUUAAAAUAAUAUCCUGGUACCUUAGUUUAAGUUAUUUCAUCUAGGGACGUAAAACUAUACUAUCAAUGAAGUAGAAUUUAAUUCCAAACAUUAUAGUAUAUUUAAUAUCCUGAUUUUUCAAUUUAACAUCUUCCACUUAGCUUUUUUCAUAAUUUUUGAAAUAUUUAUGAAAAUUUUUAUUAGAUAUCUGAAAUAUGGAUUUGAAUUUACAGCAAAGUGAGAUAUUGGCAUUCUGUAUUAUAGCUGAAUUAUAUUGGAUUUAUAAGACUUAAAAGAAAAGUGACAAAACCCAAAAUGACAUAAGGAAAACAUUCCUAAUUAAAAUUUUUUAAUUUCUGAAUUUUGAAUCUCUAAAAAUCAUAAAAUUCUAA